GGAGGUUAAAAAGGGUGAAGUGUACAAGGUCGGCGCUGGACAGAGGCGCCGAUGGAAGGGGUGUUAACUGGAACUGUGUGUAACUUAUAUUGCAUCUAUUCUUGUUUGGACCUGUCCCUUCCAGACAGAUGUUCCUGUUGUGUGGGGCCUCCUAGAAUGUUCUGUGGAAACCCUACAGAUGCUCACUAAUGUGCAUGAAGUGGUCCCCAUCAGUUACCUCUUCUCUUAGAAGAAGCUUGGACUUGCCUGUGCUUUCCAGAGCUCCCAAGAGCAAGGGAGGUCUCUGCUGACCCUGGGAACACUGGUUUACAAGUGUCCUUUUGGGGGCCCUGGGAUCCAGAACUACAUGGUCCUCUGCUGAAGAUCAGCCACUGCUUGCGGGAGACUCUUCUAACCAAUGGUAAAUUAGAAUGACUCAGCUUGAAGCCAUCAGAGGUGGCUGUGGAGAUGGGGCUCAGCCCUGCCCACUGGUGUCUGCUCCAGGUCUGAACCAAGUGGAGGGGACAGCAAUGUCACCCCACCCCAGAGCAGCUCCUGGAGGGGCUGGGAACCACAACAGCUGCAGCCACCCCAGCAGCAGCUCACGUCCCG
rnacentral:lncRNA from 1 species